AGGAACAGAGGCAGUCGGCAAUGACGGCGAGCAACCCGACGAGGCGACGAGCGACGGCCGACGAGGCGUCAAGCAGUGGCGUGGCGGGCCGGCGGCUGCCUGCGUCCCUCCGCGGACCGUGGUUUCGCCUGACCGCCUAGCCGCACGGUGCCCGGCCGCCUGGCUGCAUGGUCGCAGUGCCGCACGGCGCCUGGAUGGCCUGGUUUACCUGUUCACUGAUUUUCCAAUUUCCAAAUAGCAGGCAUGGGUAGAAACAAAAA